AGAACGAACGCUGGCGGCAUGCCUAAUACAUGCAAGUCGAACGAACACUUCGGUGUUAGUGGCGCACGGGUGCGUAACGCGUGGGAAUCUGCCCUUGGGUUCGGAAUAACAGUUGGAAACGACUGCUAAUACCGGAUGAUAUCGAAAGAUCAAAGAUUUAUCGCCCAGGGAUGAGCCCGCGUAGGAUUAGCUAGUUGGUGAGGUAAAGGCUCACCAAGGCGACGAUCCUUAGCUGGUCUGAGAGGAUGAUCAGCCACACUGGGACUGAGACACGGCCCAGACUCCUACGGGAGGCAGCAGUAGGGAAUAUUGGACAAUGGGCGCAAGCCUGAUCCAGCAAUGCCGCGUGAGUGAUGAAGGCCUUAGGGUUGUAAAGCUCUUUACCCGAGAUGAUAAUGACAGUAUCGGAGAAUAAGCCCCGGCUAACCUCCGUGCCAGCACGCCGAC
rnacentral:rRNA from 1 species